GCGGCUUAUUAGCUUGUUGGUGAGGUAAGGCUACCAGGCGACGACGGGUAGCUGGCUUGAGAGGGCGACUGGCUACACUGGGACUGAGACACGGCCCAAACUUUACGGGAGGCAGCAGUGGGGAAUAUUGCACAAUGGGCGAAUGCCUGAUGCAGCGACCCCCCGUGAGGGAAGACGGCCCUUCGGGUUGUAAAACCUUUUUUAGCAGGGAAAAAGCGAAAAGUGAACGGUACCUGCAGAAAUAACCGCCGGCUAAACUACCUUGCCAGCAGCCGCGGUAAAUACGUAGGGGCGCAAGCGUUUGUCCGGAAAUUAUUUGGGCGUAAAAGAGCUUCGUAGGCGGCUUUGUCACGUCGGGUGUGAAAAGCCCCGGGGCUUAACCCCCGGGUCUGCAUUCGAUACGGGCUAGCUAGAGUGUGGUAAGGGGAGAAUCGGAAAUUCCUGGUUGUAGCGGUGAAAUGCGCAGAUAAUCAAGAGGAACACCGGUGGGCGAAAGCGGGAUCUCUGGGCCAUUACUGACGCUGAGGAGCGAAAGCGUGUGGGAGCGAACAGGAUUAGAUACCCCUGGUAGUCCACGCCGUAAACAGUGGAACUAAGGUGUUGGCGACAUACCACCUCGUCGUGCCGCAGCUACACAUUAAGUUCCCGCCCUGGGGAGGACGGCCGCCACGCUAAA
rnacentral:rRNA from 1 species